CCUACGGGCGGCAGCAGUGGGGAAUAUUGCACAAUGGGGGAAACCCUGAUGCAGCGACGCCGCGUGAAGGAAGAAGUAUUUCGGUAUGUAAACUUCUAUCAGCAGGGGAGAAAAUGACGGUACCUGACUCAGAAGCCCCGGCUAACUACGUGACAGAAGCCGCGGGACUACGUAGGGGGCCAGGGUUAUCCGGAUUUACUGGGUGUAAAGGGAGCGUAGGCGGUUUAGCAAGUCAGAAGUGAAAGCCCGGGGAUCAAGACCGGGACUGCUUUUGAAACUGUUGAACGAGAUUGCAGGAGAGGUAAGUGGAAUGCGUGGUGUAGCGGUGAAAUGCGUAGAUAUUAGGAGGAACACCAGUGGCGAAGGCGGCUUACUGG
rnacentral:rRNA from 1 species